rnacentral:rRNA from 1 species
UUAAGCGACUAAGCGUACACGGUGGAUGCCCUGGCAGUCAGAGGCGAUGAAGGACGUGCUAAUCUGCGAUAAGCGUCGGUAAGGUGAUAUGAACCGUUAUAACCGGCGAUUUCCGAAUGGGGAAACCCAGUGUGUUUCGACACACUAUCAUUAACUGAAUCCAUAGGUUAAUGAGGCGAACCGGGGGAACUGAAACAUCUAAGUACCCCGAGGAAAAGAAAUCAACCGAGAUUCCCCCAGUAGCGGCGAGCGAACGGGGAGCAGCCCAGAGCCUGAAUCAGUGUGUGUGUUAGUGGAAGCGUCUGGAAAGGCGCGCGAUACAGGGUGACAGCCCCGUACACAAAAAUGCACAUGCUGUGAGCUCGAUGAGUAGGGCGGGACACGUGGUAUCCUGUCUGAAUAUGGGGGGACCAUCCUCCAAGGCUAAAUACUCCUGACUGACCGAUAGUGAACCAGUACCGUGAGGGAAAGGCGAAAAGAACCCCGGCGAGGGGAGUGAAAAAGAACCUGAAACCGUGUACGUACAAGCAGUGGGAGCACGCUUAGGCGUGUGACUGCGUACCUUUUGUAUAAUGGGUCAGCGACUUAUAUUCUGUAGCAAGGUUAACCGAAUAGGGGAGCCGAAGGGAAACCGAGUCUUAACUGGGCGUUAAGUUGCAGGGUAUAGACCCGAAACCCGGUGAUCUAGCCAUGGGCAGGUUGAAGGUUGGGUAACACUAACUGGAGGACCGAACCGACUAAUGUUGAAAAAUUAGCGGAUGACUUGUGGCUGGGGGUGAAAGGCCAAUCAAACCGGGAGAUAGCUGGUUCUCCCCGAAAGCUAUUUAGGUAGCGCCUCGUGAAUUCAUCUCCGGGGGUAGAGCACUGUUUCGGCAAGGGGGUCAUCCCGACUUACCAACCCGAUGCAAACUGCGAAUACCGGAGAAUGUUAUCACGGGAGACACACGGCGGGUGCUAACGUCCGUCGUGAAGAGGGAAACAACCCAGACCGCCAGCUAAGGUCCCAAAGUCAUGGUUAAGUGGGAAACGAUGUGGGAAGGCCCAGACAGCUAGGAUGUUGGCUUAGAAGCAGCCAUCAUUUAAAGAAAGCGUAAUAGCUCACUGGUCGAGUCGGCCUGCGCGGAAGAUGUAACGGGGCUAAACCAUGCACCGAAGCUGCGGCAGCGACGCUGAUGCGUUGUUGGGUAGGGGAGCGUUCUGUAAGCCUGCGAAGGUGUGCUGUGAGGCAUGCUGGAGGUAUCAGAAGUGCGAAUGCUGACAUAAGUAACGAUAAAGCGGGUGAAAAGCCCGCUCGCCGGAAGACCAAGGGUUCCUGUCCAACGUUAAUCGGGGCAGGGUGAGUCGACCCCUAAGGCGAGGCCGAAAGGCGUAGUCGAUGGGAAACAGGUUAAUAUUCCUGUACUUGGUGUUACUGCGAAGGGGGGACGGAGAAGGCUAUGUUGGCCGGGCGACGGUUGUCCCGGUUUAAGCGUGUAGGCUGGUUUUCCAGGCAAAUCCGGAAAAUCAAGGCUGAGGCGUGAUGACGAGGCACUACGGUGCUGAAGCAACAAAUGCCCUGCUUCCAGGAAAAGCCUCUAAGCAUCAGGUAACAUCAAAUCGUACCCCAAACCGACACAGGUGGUCAGGUAGAGAAUACCAAGGCGCUUGAGAGAACUCGGGUGAAGGAACUAGGCAAAAUGGUGCCGUAACUUCGGGAGAAGGCACGCUGAUAUGUAGGUGAAGUCCCUCGCGGAUGGAGCUGAAAUCAGUCGAAGAUACCAGCUGGCUGCAACUGUUUAUUAAAAACACAGCACUGUGCAAACACGAAAGUGGACGUAUACGGUGUGACGCCUGCCCGGUGCCGGAAGGUUAAUUGAUGGGGUUAGCCGCAAGGCGAAGCUCUUGAUCGAAGCCCCGGUAAACGGCGGCCGUAACUAUAACGGUCCUAAGGUAGCGAAAUUCCUUGUCGGGUAAGUUCCGACCUGCACGAAUGGCGUAAUGAUGGCCAGGCUGUCUCCACCCGAGACUCAGUGAAAUUGAACUCGCUGUGAAGAUGCAGUGUACCCGCGGCAAGACGGAAAGACCCCGUGAACCUUUACUAUAGCUUGACACUGAACAUUGAGCCUUGAUGUGUAGGAUAGGUGGGAGGCUUUGAAGUGUGGACGCCAGUCUGCAUGGAGCCGACCUUGAAAUACCACCCUUUAAUGUUUGAUGUUCUAACGUUGACCCGUAAUCCGGGUUGCGGACAGUGUCUGGUGGGUAGUUUGACUGGGGCGGUCUCCUCCUAAAGAGUAACGGAGGAGCACGAAGGUUGGCUAAUCCUGGUCGGACAUCAGGAGGUUAGUGCAAUGGCAUAAGCCAGCUUGACUGCGAGCGUGACGGCGCGAGCAGGUGCGAAAGCAGGUCAUAGUGAUCCGGUGGUUCUGAAUGGAAGGGCCAUCGCUCAACGGAUAAAAGGUACUCCGGGGAUAACAGGCUGAUACCGCCCAAGAGUUCAUAUCGACGGCGGUGUUUGGCACCUCGAUGUCGGCUCAUCACAUCCUGGGGCUGAAGUAGGUCCCAAGGGUAUGGCUGUUCGCCAUUUAAAGUGGUACGCGAGCUGGGUUUAGAACGUCGUGAGACAGUUCGGUCCCUAUCUGCCGUGGGCGCUGGAGAACUGAGGGGGGCUGCUCCUAGUACGAGAGGACCGGAGUGGACGCAUCACUGGUGUUCGGGUUGUCAUGCCAAUGGCACUGCCCGGUAGCUAAAUGCGGAAGAGAUAAGUGCUGAAAGCAUCUAAGCACGAAACUUGCCCCGAGAUGAGUUCUCCCUGACUCCUUGAGAGUCCUGAAGGAACGUUGAAGACGACGACGUUGAUAGGCCGGGUGUGUAAGCGCAGCGAUGCGUUGAGCUAACCGGUACUAAUGAACCGUGAGGCUUAACCUU